GUGGCCUUUCCCCGCGGCAGGGGCCGCUCCUCCCUGCAGCGCCACUGAGUCAGCUGACAGCAGCGGCGGUUCCAUCAUGGCCGCCCCGGCGGGGCGGCUGCCGGCGGGGCCGAAGCGGCGGAGCGGCGUGGUGGAGGCCCGGAUCCUGCUUCUCCUCUGCUUCGCAGGCGCUGCCGUGGAGGGAGCGGCGGGCACGGAGCCGCCGCUCAAGUGCGAUGAGCUGAGGCUGGGGCAGUAUGUGUGCGAUGAGCCUAAAAUAGACAAUAGUACCCAAGAACCAAUGAAUUGUACAAAUCACACAGCAUAUGUUCAGUGUCUGCCAGCACCAAAUAUUACUUGCAAAGAUCACCUUGGCAUAGAAAAAGUCUUCACAGGACACGAAGUUGGGUUUUACAAGCCUAUUGUGUGCCGCAACGUAAAUGGAUACUCCUACAAAGUGGCCGUGGCGCUGUCCUUGUUUCUUGGGUGGUUGGGAGCAGAUAGGUUUUACCUAGGCUAUCCUGCAUUAGGUUUGUUAAAGUUCUGCACCGUAGGAUUCUGUGGAAUUGGCAGCUUAAUUGAUUUCAUACUUAUUUCAAUGCAGAUCGUUGGACCCUCAGAUGGCUCCAGUUACAUUAUAGAUUACUAUGGAGCCAGGCUCACGCGACUCACAAUUACCAACGCAACCUUCAGGAAAAUGCAGACCUAUCCUUAAGCCUGGCACAUCGUAACUUAGUGGGGAGCGGGGUGGGGAGGGAGAUGGAUCCAGCACAGCCUCUGCACUCUGACAAGGUGGUGGCUAUAAUUUGGCAAUAUACCUGUCUCCAACCAACAGCAAGACCAAAUGAGAUGUACGUUUUGUUACAUCUGAAAAGUAUCGUUUCUCCCCUUGGAACCUGUGGCUGCUUCUCUACCCCAGCUGUGCUCUGGAGCAGGUGUGGGAGACGGCUCGGAGGCAGACGAUCCACAAAGCGCAACUAGAAGUGCUUGGAGUCUUCUUCAAAGUUCCUUGGGUUUACCAUGGGGAAAACAUGGUGAGAACAUGUAAGAGGAGCUUGCUGCCUGCGAAGAACUGGCGGAGUGUUCACCUUGAGCCUGAGGAGACUGCCCACCAUAUGGAUUGUGUUGGCAGAGGCAGCAGCCUGGGGAAUGCAGAGGUGGGGGGUAAUUUUUAAGGCUUUCGUUCCAUGGUCCCAUUGAUUAUAACCCUAUUAAGAGGAUGAUGCAUGUGACUUUAAAGUUAUUUUGUUAACUAAGUGUAGGCAAUGGAUGUGUCAUGCUAACAAACACAAUUGCUGGUGUGUCUAAUACAGUGUGCAAGUACAGUACAGUGAAUUUAAAAGGUGGUGGUAAUCUAAGAAUGUUAAAAGGGAAAUGUGUGCCUGGGGGGGCGUGGGGGCUGGGGAGAAAAACGACUUACUUGACAUUCACUGUCUUCCUCCCAGCUCCUUUGCUAAAGUAGGAACAGAAUCGGAACAAAAAAAUGUUUGUUUUACAGCUGUACCAAGUUACGGCGUGGACUCGUGCUCCCCCCCUCCUCUCCCACUUGCAUCAAGUACAUCCUGUACUUUUGGCAACAUGUUGACUGGAUAUUUAAAAGCUGUGAACUGUUCUGAAAGUUUCACAUACUGGGUUAUGGGCCAUGUGUGUUUGAUCAAAAUUCAAUUACUGCACUGUACCAUGCUUGGAAACCUAUCAUCCCAAGUUAUGAAGUAUGACGAAAUAGGCUAAUCUAAUUGGUUCAGUAUGGGAGCAGUAUCAACCAAGCUUGUUAUGAUAAAUAGCUUCCUGUGUUAAAGGUUCUCUAGAGCUUAAGUAUCUUGGCUCACCUCCCUCUACAAAAUAAGAAUAGUGUUCCCUGGGAACAGUUACAUCACUGUCCCUCUCCUACAUUCACAAUUAAAGGUUUGUGGAUUUUUUUUCGCCUUGCUAUUCACUGAAUAGAUAAACCGUGGCUGUCUACCCCGUUCCCCACCUCCUUCUCCUUCCCCUUUCCUCAGGUUCGCUCGUGUCGUGCUGACCGUGACUCUGCCUGUUCUAUUUCAGGGCUAGGUAAGGCAGGCUUGCCAAAACCCAGCCUGGGCUGGAGGCUGGGCUUUGUGCGCUGGUGUGUCAGUACAUAUGACAAGUCUGUUUGUACAAGGAGUUGGAAUUUUUGACGUUAAGUUAAAUGUGGAAGCACUUUAAUCUUUCUAAGCAUCUAAUAAAAGAACUUACGUAUAGUGAA